ACCCUGGAGGAAGAGGUUGCAGUGAGCCGAGACAGCUCCACUGCACUCCAUCUUGGGUGACAGAGCAAGAUUCUGUCUCAAAAAAAAAAAAAAAAAAAAAAAAGAAAGAAAAAAAUAAAAAGAAAAAGAAACCAAUAGGUGGAAACCUGGAAGAUGGUGAGUGGAAGGGAGUGAAUUGAGAAGGAAUGAAUGACUACCUGUGUCCAAUCUGCUAAGAGGUCAAGCUAGGUAAAGAUUGAGUAUAGUUGAUUGGAUUUAUUGAUAUGAAGGUCACUGGUGGCUUUUCAUGUGGGCUUUCUCCUAAGGCAAUGAAAUUUCAGGGCAGUGAGGGUGAAAUCAGGUUUCAGAAAUAUCAUUUAUUCACCCAGCAAAAUGUAUUAAGUGUUACUGUGUGUCUAGUUCAGGACUAUGCCCAUGGGUACAAGGAUAACUGUUAUCCACUCUCUGCCCUCACACAGCUCUCGUGGGUGGGAGAGACAUAUGUACACUGUUCUAAUGCAGUGUAGUUAAUUGGGGAGGUGAGAGCACAGAGCAAGGGCAGCAUACCAGAGGUGGCAGGUUUACACUCAAAAAUAGCCUUUCUGGAGGAGCUAUUAAGUUUAAAAUAAGGAAUAAAAUGUCAUUUGGAAUUGGCAACUCAGAGGGUCAAAGGAAAACUUUUGCAGGGUGAAAGAGGAAGGAGUUGCAACAUCUCAGACUGCAUUGUAGAGACCCAGGAACGGGAAGGAAUGUAGACAUGCUCUUCAGAUGAAUGAUUCUGAAAGCAUGGAGGGUGAUUGUUAGAGGAAAGGACCAAGGUUGAGGGACGAUUUUAUGAAAAAGAGUUAAGCCUGCCUUAGGUUGGUUGAGGUAUGUUUCUGGAAAAGUUGGAUGAAAUAUCUCUACCCUACAAUGAUGCCUUCUCCAUGGCUGUAAUGAUUGGGUGCCCUGAGUCAGACUUCUUUUUCUUGAACAGUGUAGGGGAUACCCUUAUCCCUUUGGAAGGCACUGGUGCAUGGUGGUGAACAGCGUGGAAUCAGGCAGGAUUCAAUCAAUGCUAGGUCAAAUUUAUUAGCCUCAGUUUCCUCUUGUUCUCCUUCUCCUUCUCCUUUUCCUCCUUCUCCUUCUUCUUCUUCUUUUUUUUUGACAGAGUUUCACUCUUGUUGCCCAGUCUGGAGUGCAGUGGCGUAAUCUCAGUUUACUGCAACCUCCGCCUCCUGGGUUCAAGCGAUUCUCCUGCCUCAGCCUCCCGAGUAGCUGGGAUUACAGGUGCCCACCACUAUGCCCGGCUAAUUUUUUGUAUUUUUAGUAGAGAUGGGGUUUCACCAUGUUGGCCAGGCUAGUCUGAAACUCCUGACCUCAGGUGAUCUACCUUCCUCGGCCUCUCAAAUUGCUGGGAUUACAGGCAUGAGCCACCGUGCCCAGCCCUCAGUUCUCUCUUCUAUAAAAUGGGGUCCCUACCUCAUAGAAAUGUGAUCUAUAUUUGUACCAUAUUUUCAUCUUUUUCUAUUCAAAUCAUGACAGUUUCCAAAGAGCAAACACAGAGUCUCUGCUCCUGCCAGUUGUUUGCAGUCUUUUGGCAGGCAUAGUCUACCUUUAGAGCUGUUGAACUACAGCCCUAGAUAGUCUGGUAUUACUAAUAGACCUUGAAAUCAUUUACUGGUUAUUGCUUAAGUAGGUUUUUUUAUACGGGUGGUUGACUUCAUUCAUUGCUGAUUUCAUUGUCAGGGUAAUAACGUUUUGCCCUCUCUGUCAGGAAUAUUGCUUCCCCUCCCCCACCCCAGCAGCAGCCUCCAUGCACUCAGUCCAGAUAACAGUGAUCCUGGUGCUUGCCUGCACCCCAUUCACUCCUCCAGUGACGUGUGGGUAGAUAGGUUGCCUCUCAGUGACUUUCAUAGCAACUGAUUCUUGUAAUUGUCAAUGUCCACUUUUGAGUGAAGGCUGGAGACUGGAUCUUAAUCUCAGAGCCUGCACAGGGCCUGGAACACAGUGGGUACUCAAUAUAAGCUUAAUGAAUGAAUGAAUGAGUGAGUGAGUGAAGGAAUUCUGAGUUUUGAAGGAGCCUCACUGUCCUGUCUAGGGUAGUAGAAAUGGUUGCUUUUCCCAAACAGAGAGGUGUGCAGAUGGCACCUCCUGAAGCUGCUUAUUCUGACUUCUUGGAGAAAUUCGUGGACUGCCCCAGUGCUCUGAAGUUCUAGGCAUCUCCAUUACCACAGGGGGAGAUAAUCCCACUCCCCGUCUCACAUUCUUGCAUACAGUUAGGGAGGUAUGUGGUGUGGUGGAAUGGAUGUAGGCUUUGGAGCUAGUCACUGCCUGACCUCAGUUUUCUCAAGUGUAAAAUAAAGAUAAUAAAACUUACUCUCUGUCAGAUUAAAUUAGAAGAUAGGUGUAAGUACAUAGUGACCUGGCACACAGUUGUCAGUUAAAAAUAGUAUCUAUUACUGCAAGUUAUAUUCAUAUCAUAUGCAUCUUAUUGAUUUCUAAAAGCUUUACCUUCCGCAUGCUGUCUUUGGAUGACUUAAAAGCAGUUUACAUUUUACUUCACAAUAGCUCAGGGAUCAGAAAGGAGGGCUGAGCCUUUUCUUUCUGUUUUGCAAGAGAGGUGGAACUUUCCUCUCAGCAAGAGGAUAGGUGUCCAGAAGUCCAGCUCCACCCGACUGUCCUUUCCUCAGAGCCAAGGUGUUUUGGCCCACUGUUCACAGGUGGACAUGACUGUUCUUGCCUUACCUACACUUGCCCACACUGAGACCUAGUUGUUUUGCCAUUCAGGACACUACCAGGACAUUUUUACCAUCUAUGCCUUCAGUAUGUCCCCUGUACCAGUGAGUCAGCAGUACCUGGCAGUUCAGGGCUCUUUGUUUACAGAGUACUGUUCUUCAGGGAUCAGGCAAAGAUUCUUCGUGUCAUACACAUGUGGCCACAGUGAAUUGCAUGUAGUGGGUUCUUCAAUAAAUGUUGGCUGGAUGAAUGAACAGAAGAUAUGAUUCCAGGUUCAACUUGGCUGAGAAGGGUAUUUCGUGCUUUUGCCUUUCAGGGUGCUGGUGGGGGCUGAGGGUUGCUGUGGGAAGGGGGCAGACAGCUUACCCUGAGUCUGCCAGAGCCGCUGUGGGCUGUGAAGGACUUUGGAUCUCUGUGUGUCUGAGAGCUUUGGCCAGGUGUCCUCGUGCAGCUUCUCCUGGUACCAGAAUGACUGAUCUCAUGUACUUGUGGCUAAUGAGGUGGAACAGUCAGAUGCUGGGCCCCCCAACGGACUUUUGCCCUUUGAACCUUCUACUUGGAAGCUAGUUGCCUUUUUCAGAGGGCUUUUCCCAAGAGCCAUCUGAGGGUGGAGGUGAAGAAACUUACCUUUUCUGGCCCAUAUUCACCUCAAGAAAUAGGCUUUCAUCAGAGCCUUGGGUUCUAGUGUGGGUUUGUUGUGAACUUUGGAACAAACUCUUGACCAGCAGUGAAGGGGUAGACCUUUAUGCUGCUUUGAUCAUCAAGUCCCUUUGGGGGCUCAUCCUUGCUCUCUUCCUUUCUAUGUUCUAUGUUUCUAUGUUCCUUUCUUUUUCUCUCUGCCUCAGAAGAAGCUGGGCAGGUAGCCUAGAGGAGGUUGCGGAAGAUGCUGGGCAGCAGUGGGUCCUAACUCUGGCUGUGGAUUGGAAUCAUCUGGAGAAUUAAGAAAACAAGGCCGGGCACGGUGGCUCACGCCUGUAAUCCCAGCACUUUGGGAGGCCGAGGCGGGCAGAUCACAAGGUCAGGAGAUUGAGACCAUCCUGGCUAACAUGGUGAAACCCGUCUCUACUAAAAAUACAAAAAAUUAGCUGGGUGUGGUGGCAGGCGCCUGUGGUCCCAGCUACUCGGGAGGCUGAGGCAGGAGAAUGGUGUGAACCCGGGAGGCGGAGCUUGCAGUGAGCCGAGAUUGCACCACUGCACUCCAGCCUGGGCGACAGAGUGAGACUCUGUCUCAAUUAAAAAAGAAAAGAAAAGAAAAGAAAAGAAAAGAAAAGAAUAGAAAAGAAAGAAAGAAAGAAAGAAAGAAAGAAAGAAAGAAAGAAAGAAAGAAAGAAAGAAAGCAAGCAAGCAAUACUCAGAUUGGGCACGGUGGCUCACACCUGUAAUCCUAGCAUUUUGGGAGACUGAGGUAGGAGGAUGGCUUAAGCUCAGGAGACCAGUCUGGAGAACUUGGUCUCUACAAAAAAAAAAAAAAAAAAUUAAUUGGGCAUGGUGGUGCAUGCCUGUAGUCCCAGCUACUCAGGUGGCUGAGGUGGGAGGAUUGUUUAAGCCCAUUUGGUCCAAGCUGCAGUGAGCCAAGAUUGUGCCACUGCAUUCCAGCAUGGGCAACAGAGUGAGACGCUGUCUCAAAAAAAAAAAAAAAAAAAAAAGAAAGAAAGAAAACAAUACUCAUCACUCCCACUCCCUGACUACAUAAAUCUGAACCACUGGGGAGAAGAAUGAGAUGAGAAUUGGCUUGGAGAACGAGAAUUAAGGAAGCAGAAAAAUUGCUUUUGAGGAGAAUUGAUGAGGGUCUUGUGGUGGCACACACCUGUAGUCCCAGCUACUCGGGAGGCUGAGGCAGGAGAAUUGCUUGAACCUGGGAAGUGGGGGUUGCAGUGAGCCAAGAUCAUGCCAUUGCACUUCAGCCUGGGUGACAGAGCAAGACUGUGUCUCAAAAAAUAAAUAAAAUAAAUAAAUAAAUAAAUAAAUAAGUCAAUAAAUAAGUAAAUAAAAAAAAAUAAUAUGCUGAGAUUAUAGGUGUGAGCCACUUUGCCCAGCCUGGAACUUUCAUUCUUAAUUAUCACUAAGAAUUUGCACACAUCUACUUCUUGAAAUUCUCUUAUAAACAUAAGUACAAGAGUGUUUCAUGAAAUCCGUUUUUAAAAUGAACAUCUCUGUGUGCCACAGUUCCUAGGACUGGGGCCACCAGAGGCCACCUGUCUGCAGGCUGGGCACAGGAAGGUUGGCCAUCUCUCUCAAAGCAAUGAAGAAGGAGAUGAAGAUUGGGGCCUAUUACACAAGAUAAACAGUGUCAGCAUGCUUUACCAGAGAGAACAUUUUCAUCACCCCACUACUGAAAGCCAUGUAUAAAUCUCUGGCAAGUGAUUGUGGAUCCUGGCUGCCUCUCGCUGGCCCGUCACGAUGAGAGGAAAAAUCAGGCAGCGGGCAAAGACUGUACCUGGAAAAUACAAACUAGGAUUGGAGUGAAAUUAAAGCAGUUCUGCAGCUAGAAGGUUGAAGGCUUUUAGGUCCUUACUGAAAGGGUCUUAUUCUUGCCUUGUCCAUUCUAUGACUCAUGCCUAAGAGGCCCAGAAAU
rnacentral:lncRNA from 1 species